CGCGCAAGGCUUGAAACAGCGAAGCGGGACUAUUCUGAAGUCUAACCUGGUUGCUUCUAGGUUGUUUGUAGGCUUUAGCUAGAUGAUGCUAGGUUGUUUCUAGGUAGUUGCUAGGCUUUUAGCUAGGUGAAGCUAGGUUGCUUCUAGGUAGCUGCUAGGCUCUUAGCUAUGUUGUUUUCUAGGUUGCUUCUAGGUUGUUGCUGGGCUUUAGCUUGUUGAUGCUAGGUUGUUUC
rnacentral:lncRNA from 1 species